GAUAAACGCUGGCGGCGCACAUAAGACAUGCAAGUCGAACGGACUUAACUCAUUCUUUUAGGAUUGAGAGCGGUUAGUGGCGGACUGGUGAGUAACACGUAAGCAACCUGCCUAUCAGAGGGGAAUAACAGUGAGAAAUCAUUGCUAAUACCGCAUAUGCUCACAGUAUCACAUGAUACAGUGAGGAAAGGAGUAAUCCACUGAUAGAUGGGCUUGCGUCUGAUUAGCUAGUUGGUGGGGCAACGGCCUACCAAGGCGAUGAUCAGUAGCCGGACUGAGAGGUUGAACGGCCACAUUGGGACUGAGAUACGGCCCAG
rnacentral:rRNA from 1 species